AACCACUUCGGUGGUCAUCCGUAAAAAUUGGAACGAUACAGAGAAGAUUAGCAUGGCCCCUGCGCAGGGUGGGUUGUUGGGAAAUUUGGAAUUGUCUG
rnacentral:snRNA from 1 species